AUUGAACGCUGGCGGCAGGCCUAACACAUGCAAGUCGACCGGAGCGUCUGUCGGGUCUGUAUUGCCUAGUAAUCUGCCUGGUCGUGGGGGUUACCGUCCGUAACCGUGCGCUAAUACCGCUUACUAUCAGAUUAGCCUAGGUCGUAUUAGCUUGUUGGUGGGGUAAAGGCCUACAAAGGCGACGAUCCGUAACUGUUCUGAGAGGAUGAUCAGUCACACUGGAACUGAGAAACGGUCCAGACUCCUACGGGAGGCAGCAGUGGGGAAUAUUGGACAAUGGGCGAAAGCCUGAUCCAGCCAUGCCGCGUGUGUGAAGAAGGUCUUCGGAUUGUAAAGCACUUUAAGUUGGGAGGCGUUAACAAAAGAAUAAGCAACGGCUAACUUCGUGCCAGCCGCCGCGGUAAUAG
rnacentral:rRNA from 1 species